AGUGAACGCUGGCGGUAGGCCUAACACAUGCAAGUCGAACGGCAGCACAGGAGAGCUUGCUCUCUAGGUGGAGAGUGGCGGACGGGAGAGGAAUACAUCGGAAUCUGCUCAGUCGUGGGGGAUAACGCAGGGAAACUUACGCUAAUACCGCAUACGACUUUCGGGUGAAAGAGGGGGAUCGCAAGACCUCUCGCGAUUGGAUGAGACGAUGUCGCACUAGCCAGUUAGUAGGGUAAUGGCCUACCAAGGCGACGAUCCGUAGCCGACCUGAGAGGGUGAUCGGCCACACUGGAACUGAGACACGGUCCAGACUCCUACGGGAGGCAGCAGUAGGGAAUCUUCCGCAAUGGGCGAAAGCCUGACGGAGCAACGCCGCGUGAGUGAUGAAGGUCUUCGGAUCGUAAAACUCUGUUAUUAGGGAAGAACAAAUGUGUAAGUAACUAUGCACGUCUUGACGGUACCUAAUCAGAAAGCCACGGCUAACUACGUG
rnacentral:rRNA from 1 species